GCCCCUAUAACUCAAUUGGUAGAGUAACAGCCUUUUAAGCUGUGAGUUGCAGGUUCGAGUCCUGCUGGGGGCACCA
rnacentral:tRNA from 1 species